CCUACGGGUGGCAGCAGUGAGGAAUAUUGGUCAAUGGGCGAGAGCCUGAACCAGCCAAGUAGCGUGAAGGAUGACUGCCCUACGGGUUGUAAACUUCUUUUAUAAAGGAAUAAAGUGAGGCACGUGUGCCUUUUUGUAUGUAUUUUAUGAAUAAGGAUCGGCUAACUCCGUGCCAGCAGCCGCGGUAAUACGGAGGAUCCGAGCGUUAUCCGGAUUUAUUGGGUUUAAAGGGAGCGUAGGUGGGUUGUUAAGUCAGUUGUGAAAGUUUGCGGCUCAACCGUAAAAUUGCAAUUGAUACUGGCAGUCUUGAGUACAGUAGAGGUGGGCGGAAUUCGUGGUGUAGCGGUGAAAUGCUUAGAUAUCACGAAGAACUCCGAUUGCGAAGGCAGCCUACUAAACUGCCACUGACAUUGAUGCUCGAAAGUGUGGGUAUCAAACAGGAUUAGAUACCCCUGUAGUC
rnacentral:rRNA from 1 species